rnacentral:rRNA from 1 species
UACGUAGGUGGCAAGCGUUGUUCGGAUUUACUGGGCGUAAAGGGCGCGUAGGCGGUCAGCACAAGUCAGUUGUGAAAUCCCUCAGCUUAACUGGGGAACUGCGUCUGAUACUGGAUGGCUUGAGAUUGGGAGAGGGAUGCGGAAUUCCAGGUGUAGCGGUGAAAUGCGUAGAUAUCUGGAGGAACACCGGUGGCGAAGGCGGCAUCCUGGACCAACACUGACACUGAGGAGCGAAAGCCAGGGGAGCAAACGGG